rnacentral:rRNA from 1 species
UGGGGAAUAUUGCACAAUGGAGGGAACUCUGAUGCAGCGACGCCGCGUGAGUGAUGAAGGAAUUCGUUUCGUAAAACUCUGUUCUAUGGGAAGAAAAGGACUGUACCAUAGGAGAAAGCUCCGGCUAAAUACGUGCCAGCAGCCGCGGUAAUACGUAUGGAGCGAGCGUUGUCCGGAAUUAUUGGGCGUAAAGGGUGCGCAGGCGGCUUUACAAGUUGGAUGUGAAAUAUUGUGGCUCAACCACAAACGUGCAUCCAAAACUGCAAAGCUUGAGUUAAGGAGAGGUGAGUGGAAUUCCUGGUGUAGCGGUGGAAUGCGUAGAUAUCAGGAGGAAUACCGGUGGCGAAGGCGACUUACUGGACUUAAACUGACGCUCAGGCACGAAAGCGUGGGGAGCAAACAGG